GACGAACGCUGGCGGCGUGCUUAACACAUGCAAGUCGAACGGAAAGGCCCUGCUUUUGUGGGGUGCGCGAGUGGCGAACGGGUGAGUAACACGUGAGUAACCUGCCCUUGACUUUGGGAUAACUUCAGGAAACUGGGGCUAAUACCGGAUAGGAGCUCCUGCUGCAUGGUGGGGGUUGGAAAGUUUCGGCGGUUGGGGAUGGACUCGCGGCUUAUCAGCUUGUUGGUGGGGUAGUGGCUCACCAAGGCUUGGACGGGUAGCCGGCCUGAGAGGGUUACCGGCAACAGUGGGACAGAGAUACGGCCCAGACUCCUACGGGAGGCAGCAGUGGGGAAGAGUGCACAAUGGGCGGAAGCCUGAUGCAGCAACGCCGCGUGCGGGAUGACGGCCCUCGGGUUGUAAACCGCUUUCGCCUGUGACGAAGCGUGAGUGAAGGUAAUGGGUAAAGAAGCACCGGCUAACUACGUG
rnacentral:rRNA from 1 species